GGGCGGGACACGUGGUAUCCUGUCUGAAUAUGGGGGGACCAUCCUCCAAGGCUAAAUACUCCUGACUGACCGAUAGUGAACCAGUACCGUGAGGGAAAGGCGAAAAGAACCCCGGCGAGGGGAGUGAAACAGAACCUGAAACCGUGUACGUACAAGCAGUGGGAGCCUCUCUUUAUGGGGGGUGACUGCGUACCUUUUGUAUAAUGGGUCAGCGACUUAUAUUCUGUAGCAAGGUUAACCGCAUAGGGGAGCCGAAGGGAAACCGAGUCUUAAUUGGGCGUUAAGUUGCAGGGUAUAGACCCGAAACCCGGUGAUCUAGCCAUGGGCAGGUUGAAGGUUGGGUAACACUAACUGGAGGACCGAACCGACUAAUGUUGAAAAAUUAGCGGAUGACCUGUGGCUGGGGGUGAAAGGCCAAUCAAACCGGGAGAUAGCUGGUUCUCCCCGAAAGCUAUUUAGGUAGCGCCUCGUGAACUCAUCUCCGGGGGUAGAGCACUGUUUCGGCUAGGGGGCCAUCCCGGCUUACCAACCCGAUGCAAACUGCGAAUACCGGAGAAUGUUAUCACGGGAGACACACGGCGGGUGCUAACGUCCGUCGUGAAGAGGGAAACAACCCAGACCGCCAGCUAAGGUCCCAAAGUCAUGGUUAAGUGGGAAACGAUGUGGGAAGGCCCAGACAGCCAGGAUGUUGGCUUAGAAGCAGCCAUCAUUUAAAGAAAGCGUAAUAGCUCACUGGUCGAGUCGGCCUGCGCGGAAGAUGUAACGGGGCUAAACCAU
rnacentral:rRNA from 1 species